AUGGACCAAGGAGAACCAGGCAAAGAUCUGCCAAUAUUGGGGCAGACGCGGGAGGCUGAUCCCCACGAGACAGAGAGAUCCAAGAAGAUGGAGGCAGCCACCAAGCCGACCCUAGAUACGCUCACGGCCACUACUGAGAUGGUCAAUGCCCCGUUUCAGCUGCUGGACUACUUGCAGGACAACGAGUUCAUCUGUGGCAGCUAUCACUGUGAGCAGUCCGUCCAUGACGCGCUCCGCAAUGUCUUCGCCGGGCACAACGAGAUCCUCAAUGUAUGGAAGGAUAAAGUGAAGAAAAGGAAGAAAAGAUUACUAGAAGAUUAG
rnacentral:rRNA from 1 species